UGGACGUUGUGGUGGAAAACAGCGCC
rnacentral:piRNA from 1 species